rnacentral:rRNA from 1 species
AUUAAUUUAUUUAAAUGAAAAUUUGAGGGAGGAUAUAUUUUUAUUAUGUAUUGAAUAUCGCACUCCCAGGGCAUCUUAUACUAUUCUUAUAAUUAUUUUAUAUUUUUUAUUAUGAAUAAAGGUGCACCUAUAGCGUACACGCUGGGACCCGAAAGAUGGUGAACUAUGCCUGGUCAGGACGAAGUCAGGGGAAACCCUGAUGGAGGUCCGUAGCGAUUCUGACGUGCAAAUCGAUCGUCGGAACU